GCCAGGCGUGGUGGUGCAUGCCUGUAAUCCCAGCUACUUGGGAGGCUGAGGCAGGAGAAUCGCUUGAACCUGGGAGGCAGAGGUUGCGGUGAGCCGGGAUCAUGCCACUGCACUCCAGCCUGGGUGACAGAGUGAGACUCUGUCUCAA
ensembl:misc_RNA Metazoa_SRP Metazoan signal recognition particle RNA